rnacentral:rRNA from 1 species
CACGUAGGAGUCAAGCGUUAUCCGAAUUCACUGGGCGUAAAGCGCGUGUAGGCGGCGCAAAAAGUUGGAUGUAAAAGCUCCUGGCUCAACUGGGAGAGGACGUUCAAUACUUUUGUGCUAGAGGACGGCAGAGGGAGGUGGAAUUCCCGGUGUAGUGGUGAAAUGCGUAGAUAUCGGGAGGAACACCAGUGGCGAAGGCGGCCUUCUGGGCCGUUUCUGACGCUCAGACGCGAAAGCUAGGGGAGCGAACGGG